UGUGUAUCCACCGAUUUUCCAAUUCCAUGUAGGAUGCAAUUCCAUUUGUCUGUCAUGCAUGCACCAGCUGUUCAACCCGUCAAUCCCAUCCUUACUCCAAAGAUAGGAGAUAGAGUCGUACUCGAAUGUAAUUACGAGUCUAAUCCUGCACCAUAUGAAGUGAUCUGGGUACACCAUCAAUUAGGUUUCUCUCUGACAACAAAACAACAGAAGUUAACGAUAAUGGAAAUCAGC